rnacentral:tRNA from 1 species
UCUAAUAUGGCAGAUUAGUGCAUUGGAUUUAAAUCCCAAAAAUAAAGCUUAUACUUUUUUUAGAA